AUGGUUCACAUCUUCAUCAAUAUCCCAUCCUCCUGCAACAUUGACCCCAAAUACCGAAAGAUGUCCUUCCGAGGUAUCACCCGGCCAUCAAGCCUAACCUCCUCCUCCUCACACCUAGUAGUACUGAAACCGCACAUCAUGUACUCGGUUUUAGUUCUACUAAUAAGCCUAAACCCUUUCGAUUCCAAGGUUUGUCUCCAUAACUCAACUUCCUAUUUAUCAACAUCAGUCAAACACCAACAACAUAAUUCCACAUCAAGAACAGCUGGUACAGCCAAUAUCAAUGUCUUCCUGGCUCUAAUAAGAAUAUUGCUCCGUACAAGUAAGAAACCAGAUUACACUGCACACAAGCAUGCAGUGCAAAAUUUCCAAGGUAUAACAUAG
rnacentral:rRNA from 1 species